GAUGAACGCUGGCGGCGUGCCUAAUACAUGCAAGUCGAACGCAUAGCGAAAGGUGCUUGCACCUUUCAAGUGAGUGGCGAACGGGUGAGUAACACGUGGACACCCUGCCUCAAGGCUGGGGAUAACAUUUGGAAACAGAUGCUAAUACCGAAUAAAACUUAGUGUCGCAUGACACAAAGUUAAAAGGCGCUUCGGCGUCACCUAGAGAUGGAUCCGCGGUGCAUUAGUUAGUUGGUGGGGUAAAGGCCUACCAAGACAAUGAUGCAUAGCUGAGUUGAGAGACUGAUCGGCCACAUUGGGACUGAGACACGGCCCAAACUCCUACGGGAGGCUGCAGUAGGGAAUCUUCCACAAUGGGCGAAAGCCUGAUGGAGCAACGCCGCGUGUGUGAUGAAGGCUUUCGGGUCGUAAAGCACUGUUGUAUGGGAAGAACAGCUAGAAUAGGAAAUGAUUUUAGUUUGACGGUACCAUACCAGAAAGGGACGGCUAAAUACGUG
rnacentral:rRNA from 1 species